rnacentral:rRNA from 1 species
UUAAAUUUAAAUAUGGUUUUUUUAGGAAUUUGAUUAUACAAAAAAUUAAAUUGAUUUGGCGGUUUUUUAAACUUUUUAGAGGAACCUGUUUGUUAAAUUGAUAAACCACGAUUUUAAAUAUCUAGAUUUUCUUGUAUAUCUCUAUAAUGAGUAUUCUUUAAGGUUAAUUUUCUAUAUUUUUAAAAAAAAUUAAUUUAGGUCAAGGUGCAGUUAUAUUUAGAUUUAAAUGGGUUACAAAAAUUAAGGUUUGUGGGGGCAUAUCUUAAAAAUUGUAAUUAAAUUGGAUUUAAAAGUAAAAUAAAUUGUUAAUUUGUUUGAAUUAUGCUCUAAAUUAUGU